rnacentral:lncRNA from 1 species
CAUCCGUGAUGCAGUUCCCAGCUCAUGAGGGCCUGGAAAUAAUUGUCCCACUCUUCAACCCGUUGGGACGCAGAGGUUAAGUCUAGAGUUGGUCCUGUUGAGAUAGAGAGCCUAGAAUUCAUAAACGGCCUUCCGCAGGAAACCCCCGCGGAAGCAAAUCUGGAGAAGGAGGUGGAGGGCGAGGGACGGGCAUUAUUAGUCUCUGCUUUUGUUUUUCAAGCAUCAUUUGAUUUUCCUUUGUCUCAGGAAACUUUUUUAGGGAAAUUCCCUUCUCUUUUGUCUUCAGUUUAACCUAGAAAUGUGUUCUUAAAAACCAACAUUUUCAGAAAAUUCUUUUCUCAGUCUUGAGUGUAUGAAAAUGUAUCCAGACGACACGAGUUGUCAUUUUUCUUCAUUAUUUUCCUCUCUAUUUCAGUUUAUAGCUGUUUCCUGUCCGAUUCUGAGCUUCACGACUUCAUUUACCAUCCCCAUCCACAGGUUUGUGGUGACCUCCACCACUGUUGUUUUUUCACUUAAGAGUAUGUAAGCCAAAAUCUGGAUCGGGGGAGAUGUAACUGAUUUCUAUCGAUUUGUAACAGACUUAUGUGUGUGUUUUUAAUGAAGUGUGUAUUUAUUCAGUAUUUUCCUCAGCAUUCUGUGGGCAAAGUAAAAGUAACAGUGUAUAGUGAAAGGGCGUGUAUUCCCAGUCCACUGUGUUCACCAACAUCUUGGUUAAAUAUAAUUUACAAUCCAGAGACUAUUUCGUUUGUUUUCUUUUUGUCGUGCAGAAGAAGUGAUUAAAGCUAAACUACUCUUUGAACCACUGCUUCUGCAUUUGACUUAUUUGGUAAAACCCACUUUCUAAGGCUUUGGCGUAUUUUUCUCUUGGUUAUUUUCCUUUACUGCUUUUUAUUUUGUAGCAUGUCUCUUUAAAGAGGGAGAAAAAAACUAUUCUUCUGGAAAUACUCAUUUGUUGACACCUAAUCAAUGCGUGGUGGGCACAGUGCCUGGGACAUCUUAACAAAGAUUAAUUUCCUGCGGCCCCUGAUUCAUACAUUUUUGUUCCUUUAACAUCAAAGUUGAGAGACGUGAAUUAUCCUUUUGACACUUCUAGAAUUUAUUGUAAUCUCUUAAAUGAGCUUAACUAUUAGUUUACUAAUUGACUCAUUUUGGUGAUUUAAUUAUUUUUGCUUCUGCUUUAAAAUGUAGAACUGAACCCCUUUUUAACAAAGCAUAAAACAGAUUAUUUCU